CGAAAGCCUGACGGAGCAAUACCGCGUGCGGGACGAAGGCUUUUGGGUCGUAAACCGCUUUUGUUAGGGAAGAACACAAUGACGGUACCUAACGAAUCAGCAUCGGCUAACUCCGUGCCAGCAGCCGCGGUAAUACGGAGGAUGCAAGCGUUAUCCGGAAUUAUUGGGCGUAAAGCGUCCGCAGGUGGUUUAUCAAGUCUGCUGUUAAAUCACAGGGCUUAACCCUGUAAAGGCAGUGGAAACUGAGAGACUAGAGUACGGUAGGGGUAGCGGGAAUUCCCAGUGUAGCGGUGAAAUGCGUAGAUAUUGGGAAGAACACCAGCGGCGAAGGCGCGCUACUAGGCCGAAACUGACACUCAUGGACGAAAGC
rnacentral:rRNA from 1 species